rnacentral:rRNA from 1 species
UUCUGGUUGAUCCUGCCAGAGGCCAUUGCUAUCGGAGUCCGAUUUAGCCGUGCUAGUUGUGCGGGUUUAGACCCGCAGCGGAAAGCUCAGUAACACGUGGCCAAACUACCCUGUGGAUGGGAACAAUCUCGGGAAACUGAGGCUAAUUCCCAAUAACGCUCCACCCCUGGAACGGGCGGAGCUGGAAACGCUACGGCGCCACAGGAUGUGGCUGCGGUCGAUUAGGUAGACGGUGGGGUAACGGCCCACCGUGCCAAUAAUCGGUACGGGUUGUGAGAGCAAGAGCCCGGAGACGGAAUCUGAGACAAGAUUCCGGGCCCUACGGGGCGCAGCAGGCGCGAAACCUUUACACUGUACGCAAGUGCGAUAAGGGGACUCCGAGUGUGAAGGCAUAGAGCCUUCACUUUUGUACACCGUAAGGUGGUGUACGAAUAAGGGCUGGGCAAGACCGGUGCCAGCCGCCGCGGUAAUACCGGCAGCCCGAGUGAUGGCCGAUAUUAUUGGCUUAAAGCGUCCGUAGCUGGCCGGACAAGUCCGUUGGGAAAUCUGUUCGCUUAACGAGCAGGCGUCCAGCGGAAACUGUUCGGCUUGGGACCGGAAGACCUGAGGGGUACGUCCGGGGUAGGAGUGAAAUCCUGUAAUCCUGGACGGACCACCGGUGGCGAAAGCGCCUCAGGAGGACGGAUCCGACAGUGAGGGACGAAAGCUAGGGUCUCGAACCGGAUUAGAUACCCGGGUAGUCCUAGCUGUAAACGAUGCCCGCUAGGUGUGGCGCAGGCUACGAGCCUGCGCUGUGCCGUAGGGAAGCCGAGAAGCGGGCCGCCUGGGAAGUACGUCUGCAAGGAUGAAACUUAAAGGAAUUGGCGGGGGAGCACUACAACCGGAGGAGCCUGCGGUUUAAUUGGAUUCAACGCCGGA